GCGCUUCUAAAGUAUUCCUAGCAAUUAGGGCACCGAGAGACCUACAAAUCACCAAUUAGGUGAUAGACUUUAGCUUUUUGAGUUGAAAUAACGAAGAAUGGAAGACAAGAUCACAUAGAGCUCAUGGAAUCAGAAAAUGGUGCGACUUACGUCAAAAACAGUGAUAAGAAAGGGGAAAGAUUUACUUACUCGAUGAAACAAUGAGAUGGUGGGUUCGAACGGAAGCCCUCGACGCCAGGAACAAUUUGAAGACACUAAAUGAAAUUUUGUACGGUUCAAAUUUUUGAAAAAGAAGAGAGAAGGUGGAGUAGAGUUAGGGUUUGACACUUAGAGAGAAAAGGGUUUUC
rnacentral:lncRNA from 1 species